rnacentral:rRNA from 1 species
GAAUUGACGGGGGCCCGCACAAGCGGCGGAGCAUGUGGAUUAAUUCGAUGCAACGCGAAGAACCUUACCUGGGUUUGACAUACACCAGACGCGGCUAGAGAUAGUCGUUCCCUUGUGGUUGGUGUACAGGUGGUGCAUGGCUGUCGUCAGCUCGUGUCGUGAGAUGUUGGGUUAAGUCCCGCAACGAGCGCAACCCUUGUCCUGUAUUGCCAGCGGGUUAUGCCGGGGACUUGCAGGAGACUGCCGGGGUCAACUCGGAGGAAGGUGGGGAUGACGUCAAGUCAUCAUGCCCCUUAUGUCCAGGGCUUCACACAUGCUACAAUGGCCGGUACAGAGGGCUGCGAUACCGUGAGGUGGAGCGAAUCCCUUAAAGCCGGUCUCAGUUCGGAUCGGGGUCUGCAACUCGACCCCGUGAAGUCGGAGUCGCUAGUAAUCGCAGAUCAGCAACGCUGCGGUAAUACGUUCCCGGGC